rnacentral:pre_miRNA from 1 species
UACAAUGUUUUGACUUUUCGUCUUAUUUGAAAUUUUUUUGUGAUUAAUAUUUUUGUUCUUACCAGAGAUGAUAGAGCAUGAAUAGUACUUUAUACGUGACUAAUUUUUUUAAGUUCUUUACAAAUUUUUCAAAUAAGACAAAUGAUCAAACGUCGUGUACGAAAAAUGAUG